UGGUGGUUUGAUAGAAGGAAC
ensembl:piRNA 21ur-926 ncRNA